CAAGGGAUUUUCCGCAAUGGGCGCAAGCCUGACGGAGCGACGCCGCGUGCGGGAUGACGUCCUUCGGGAUGUAAACCGCUUUUCGAGGGGAGGAGGACGGACAGUACCCUCGGAAGAAGCCCCGGCUAACUACGUGCCAGCAGCCGCGGUAAUACGUAGGGGGCGAGCGUUGUCCGGAAUUACUGGGCGUAAAGCGCGCGCAGGCGGUGGCCGGCGUCCGCGGUGAAAGCCCCCGGCUCAACCGGGGAGGGUCCGCGGAGACGGGGUCACUGGAGGGUGUCAGAGGGGGGUGGAAGGCCGGGUGGAGCGGUGAAAUGCGUAGAGAUCCGGCGGAACACCAGCGGUGAAGACGGCCCCCUGGGGCAACCCUGACGCUGAGGCGCGAAGGCCAGGGGAGCGAACGGG
rnacentral:rRNA from 1 species